GGUAGGGCGUGUGACUGGCGGAUAGUGGAGCAACCACAGGGAGCACGCAGUACCAUGAACUAGUAUAACUCGAUUUUAAUAAGUUUACAUUAUUAUCCUGAAAACCAAGGGAAACGUGCGCCCAAAGCACGGACAUGUAAGCCAAGAAAUCAGAUUACUACCAAUGCUUAAAUUGUAAGCUUAUUUAAAUCGAGUUAUACUAGUUUGAGCCGACCGCCUGGGCAUGCAUA
rnacentral:ncRNA from 20 species